ensembl:snoRNA
AUCCUUUUGUAGUUCAUAAGCGUGAUGAUUGGGUGUUCACAUGCAUCCGUGAGAUGUGCCACCCUUGAACCUUCUUAUGUCAUCAGCACAUUACCCGUCUGACA